UUCUCUCUUUUUUAGCAAUGCACCACUCUCUACUGUCCUUAUAUAUUAUUUUAUAUUCUGCGUCUCCAUCCAGAUUCUCGUGUAUACCAUGAGGGUCCGGAUUGGGGGUGUUGUUUAUUUCUGUAUUCUUUAAUUUAUUAUGCCACUUUUCUCUACAUUUUAUUUAUCUUACUCAUUAUUCUUUCUCUAUUCUUUAUAUUCUAGCUUCCCAAUAUACUUUACUUACUGAUGUUUAGUUACAUUACGACGUUUAUCUCUGAUUUAUAUACUUGUUACUAAUGUAGAUGACUU
rnacentral:lncRNA from 1 species